UAUCAUAUUCUAUGAAGUUUGCUUGAAAAUGCACCAGGUACUUGAUUAUGGAAGGUAAAAUAGAAUUUCCAACAAGAAAGUCCUAACAACUCUAACACAAUUUUAAAUAAGCUCUAAUUCAAUUUUAACAAUGAUAAUUAAUCUUUAAUCAAUUUAAAAGAAGUCUUAAAGAAAUUUCAAAAGAAACAUAAUAAAAUUAUAAAUUAUCCUUAAAGAAAUAUAUAUAAGAAAAAAAUCCUAAAAAAAUAUCAUUUUUUUAAAUAUUAAAAAUAUAGACUUUAAAUAAAUUCUAACCAAAUUCUAAUAUAAUCCUAAAUAACUUCUAACCAAAUUCUAAUGAAAUCUUAAACCAAUUCUAACCAAAACCUAACCAAAUCCUAACCAUAUCCUAAUGAAAUCCCAAACCAAUCCUAGCCAAAUUCGAAUAUAAUUUUAAACCAAUCUUAAAAAGUUUCUAAAUUCUAAUCAAAUUCUAAUAUAAUUCUAAAUCAAUCCUAAUAAGAUCCUCAAUCAUAAUCAAAUCCUACUAAAAUCCAAAUCAAAUCCUAAUCAAAGCCUAAUAAAAUCCUAAAGAUCCUA
rnacentral:lncRNA from 1 species